rnacentral:lncRNA from 1 species
GGAGUAGUAUCUGGAGUUUCUGUAACAUCCUUUCCCUUUUUUUUUUUUUUAAGCCAGAGCCUCUGUCGCCCAGGCUGCAGUACAGUGGCGUAAUCUCAGCUCACUGCAACCUCUGCCUCCCGGGAUCAAGCGAUUCUCCUUCCUCAGCCUCCCGAGUAGCUGGGAUUACAGGUGCCCGCCGGCUAAUUUUUGUUUUUGUUUGUUUUUGUUUUUGUUUUGAAACGGAGUCUCUGUCGCCCAGGCUGGAGUGCAACGGUGUGAUCUCGGCUCACUGCAACCUCCGCCUCCCGGGUUCAAGCGAUUCUUCUGUCUCGGCCUCCCAAGUAGCUGGGAUUACAGGCGUCCACCACCACGCGCAGCUAAUUUUUUGUAUUUUUAGUAGACACGAGGUUUUGCCAUGUUGGCCAGGCUGGUUUCGAACUCCUGGCCUCAAGUGAUCCGCCUGCCUCGGCCUCCCAAAGUGCUGGGAUUACAGGCGACACCCUUUGCUUUUUUUUUUUUUUUUUUUUUUUUUUUUGAGGCGGAGUAUCACUCUGUUGCCCAGGCUGGAGUGCAAUGGCGUGAUCUCGGCUCACUGCAACCUCUGCCUCCCAGUUUCAAGAGUUUCUUCUGCCUCAGCCUCCCAAGUAGCUGGCACUGCAGACACGCACCACCACACCCAGGCGAAGUAAGACUCUUGCCAGCUUUACAAUCCAGCAAUGUCUUUCUAAAGGAUUUUGGAGCCUCUCUUUGGAAUGGAAAUAUCAAGGGAGAUAAUGUCCAUAUUUCCCAGUUUUUGUGGGAGGAUAGGAGCCUACCUUCUGUGGGAUAACUCCACUGAGUUGUCAAACUAUCUCCUGAAAUAAAGAUGUGAAAGGUUUAUUUUUCCUUUGGGUAAAGUCAAUUAGCUAACACAGAUGGUUAUCUCAAUUACCUAGUAAAUUUUGAUGAACUAUAAUGUGACAAAUGGUACUGCUUUAGGGGCAAAGGGAAAACUUUCCACUUGUCCUCUGAAAAUCAACUGGUAAAAGGCAGACUAGCAGGAGAAAGAGCCUAAAAAAUUUUAUUUUAAUGUGCAUAGGACAGAGGGAUCGCAUGAGAUUAUUCAAUAACACAACAGGGUACAGAUGUUUAAUGCCCUUCUUCUUAGGGGAGGGGAGAGGGGAGAAAUGUGGCAAUUUGGGGGAUAGUAAAUAAUUUUUAGGGAAAAUGAGUGGACUUACAGAACAUGCAGUGGCUUGGGACAAAGUCUGUUGGACCCACAGAGGUGUCAAUGGUUUGUAACAAAAAUCUGUCCGAGUUUGUUCAAACACUAUAGUCUUUUUCCUGCUAUAUGAGAUAAAUUUAUGAAAAAUCAGGAAAGAGACAAGAGGUUUUUUUUUUCUUUGGUGGCUCUGGACUCAAGCGAGAUCAGGGAAUUUCAGAAAAUAACUUCAUCCUGCGCUUUGAAAGAGACAGAGGAUUGACAGACAGGAGGGAACGAAGUCGAAGACCCUGAGGCUGCUGCUUGUGUACAGCAUGUCAAGGUACCAUAUUUCGGAGGAUGGAUUUCUGAUUUCCAACAAUGACAAUUCCUAUACUUGAGGACUAAUCAUGGUUUAUCUUAAGAAUAUAGAUGCGAUAGGUUAUAUCUGCUCGGUUAUAUAGAGUUUUUUUCUGUCUUUAUUAUCUCUUAAGUGCAUUGUCUGUGAUCCACAUCACAUAUUUGUUUGAGGCUUAUUCACUAAUAAAACCAUUUUCUUUCUUUUCUUCCUUAGCUGGGAGCUUUGUUGAGCUUGCAGAAUACUUUAAUUUAAUUAUAUUUCUCCAGCAAUGUACAAUCUGUUAUUAAAUAAUUAUUUGCAGAUGAAUUAUCCCCAGAAUACUCAGAAUCAGCUUCGUUUCUCUCACUGGGUAAAUUGAGAAUCACAAUGGUAAGAAAUACUGAUCAGAUGUAAGCAUAUGUAGGUAGAUCCUGGUAGCUCAUUUCCUGUUUCAGAGAAAAGUCAGAGUUGAUACUGCAAACUGAGGAUCGGAAAAUUUGUGACAGCAAAGCAACUGUAUUUUUUGGUGUCUUCAGCUUCUAGGAAAUAGGUGCACUUGUUCAGAUUAGUUGCCAGUUGCAUUUCUCUCUCUUUUUUUUUUUUUUUGGUGUGGUACUCCCUGUUUAUUUGUCAGUUGCCAAAACAAAGUAGGAUGUGGUGUGAAUAUUUAACAUAUAAAGUUUAGAUUGAAAAAGGAGGCAGGUAGAUGCUUUGAGCAGUCUUGCAGUCUUCAGUGACAGUGUUGCCUUCAGCAGGCGAUACUGAUCAUGAAACAGCCAAGAAAUGGUAUCAGAGGUGAUUAGUGUUGGAAAAGAUGAGUAAUUGGAAUACCAGAUGGAUAGAAGGGUCUUGGGUUACCCUUUACAGCUUGACCUAUAGAAUGUCAAAAAGAGAGGUCUGCUUUCAUUUGCAUUGAACUCUAAGAUUUAAUUCCUGUGUAGAAACCCAGAAUUUGUUACUUCGACUUUAUCAACCGGAAAAUGUC